rnacentral:rRNA from 1 species
UACGUAGGGUGCGAGCGUUGUCCGGAAUUAUUGGGCGUAAAGAGCUCGUAGGCGGUGUGUCACGUCGUUCGUGAAAACCUGCAGCUUAACUGUGGGCGUGCGGUCGAUACGGGCAUCACUGGAGUUCGGCAGGGGAGACUGGAAUUCCGUGGUGUAGCGGUGAAAUGCGCAGAUAGUCAGGAGGAACACCGGUGGCGAAGGCGGGUCUCUGGGCCGAGACGUGACGCUGGAGGCGCGAAAGCCGUGGGGAGCAAACAGG